CAGUAUAUGUGCUAUGGUAUUACUUGUGUUGUGCAAAUUUAGACAGCUCAAAUUUGGCUCACAUAGAAAUAAACUAGAUAUUUAUGUAUUCAUAAUGCUUAACUGGUUUAUGAAGGUUCAUGCACAGUGGUACCGUCAAGGAUGUUCUUGUGUUGGACCAAAAUAGAUGAUAGAAGGCACCGAAAACAUCGAAGCCUACUGACUUUAAUAGCCCAAAUCAUAUUAUUCCAUAGUCAAUCAUGUUUUGUGAUUCUCUUAUUGCGCUGAAAUUUUUUGGCACGGCAAUCCACGGGCAAAAUCCUAGUACAAAAUAAAAACAAUUAGGUAUAGCCAUGUGUUGACAACGUAUUGAAACGGGUUGCUCACUGCUAUAUCCUACUUGGCUAAAGUAUAACCGAAACUAGCCCACACCAAAUCCAGCCUACACGGUCUAACCCAUGACUAAUUUUCUUCCACCAUCAUACCAUCUCAUGUCAUCCCACUACCGUUAGCCACCCCUGUCCGAUCACUAGCUCCUCCACUGCCGCUGCUGUUUCCCACUACGGCUCCUGUUUUUGCAUCAUACGACUGUCGAUGAAGCGUCGCCUCACCACUCCACCCUCUACCACUUGCCUUCUAGUACUGCAUGCACUAAUUGAGGCAGUUGAUCACUCCUACAGCUUACCCCUCCCAUACUGGUUAUCCUCCACUACCGACCAACAGUGCCCACCAUCACAUCUCGCUUGCUGCUGCUCACCACCUUUGCCAGCUUGAUGAUCAGUUGAUCACCUAGUAAGCCGUCCUUUUCACAACCCUUCCUAACCUAACACUCAAACCAAACCCAAUGACCGGGGUUUAAACUACUGGAGAGCAACUCAUACAUACUUGCUCUAAAACCUCAUCCGUGACGGUUAUCAGAAUGUCUCAGUGAAGCUGACGCAGAUACUCGUUGUAUCUGUGUCGAUGCUUAUACAAGUCAGCAAUAGUUGAAACAAGAAAUUGCAAAUGAAAAGAGCAAAACAAAUAAUUUUCAGGCCAGGAGGGCCACCCUAAGCUACCCUCACGUUCCCAUUUUUCAUGUUCGUACGGUACAAAGCCUUAGAACUCACAAUUUUCGUAUAAAGUUUAUCUCCAUCCAGAUCCGUAUGCAAAAUUUACCAAUUUAUGAACACAACCUGAACUUCAAAUUGCAAAGGUGGAAAAUUGUCC
rnacentral:lncRNA from 1 species